UCAAGCGACUAAGUGUAUGUGGUGGAUGCCUUGGCGAUCACAGGCGAUGAAGGACGUGACAGCCUGCGAAAAGCUGUGGGGAGCUGGCAAAUAAGCUUUGAUCCACAGAUGUCCGAAUGAGGGAACUCACCUGCUUUGCAGGUAUCCCAUCCUGAAUAUAUAGGGAUGGGAGGCGAACGAAGCGAACUGAAACAUCUAAGUAGCUUCAGGAAAAGAAAUCAACCGAGAUUCCGAAAGUAGCGGCGAGCGAAAUCGGAUCAGCCCAGCACUCGAUAGCAGCCAACUUACGGGAACGGUCUGGAAAGUCCGGCCAUAGAGGGUGAUAGCCCCUUACUGGAAAAGGCAGCUGCGGUACUAAGUGUGCGAUAAGUAGAGCGGGACACGUGACAUCCUGCUCGAAGAUGGGGGGACCAUCCUCCAAGGCUAAAUACUCGUGAUCGACCGAUAGCGUACCAGUACUGUGAAGGAAAGGUUAAAAGAACCCCGGGAGGGGAGUGAAAUAGAUCCUGAAACCGCAUACAUACAAACAGUAGGAGCCUCGUUAAGGGGUGACUGCGUACCUUUUGCAUAAUGGGUCAGCGACUUACGUUUAAUGGCGAGCUUAACCGUAUAGGGGAGGCGCAGCGAAAGCGAGUUCGAACAGAGCGUUCAGUCGUUAGGCGUAGACCCGAAACCAGAUGAUCUAUCCAUGGCCAGGUUGAAGGUGUGGUAACACACACUGGAGGACCGAACCGACUAGUGUUGCAAAAUUAGCGGAUGAGCUGUGGAUAGGGGUGAAAGGCUAAACAAAUCUGGAGAUAGCUGGUUCUCCCCGAAAACUAUUGAGGUAGUGCCUCGUGUAUGACUCCAGGGGGUAGAGCACUGUUAUGGCUAGGGGGACAUGGCGUCUUACCAAACCAUGGCAAACUCCGAAUACUUGGAAGUUUGAGCACGGGAGACAGAGCACCGGGUGCUAACGUCCGGACUCAAGAGGGAAACAACCCAGACCGCCGGCUAAGGUCCCUAAUAUUGACUAAGUGGAAAACGAAGUGGAAAGGCUAAGACAGUCAGGAAGUUGGCUUAGAAGCAGCCAUCCUUCAAAGAAAGCGUAAUAGCUCACUGAUCGAGUCUUUCUGCGCGGAAGAUGUAACGGGGCUAAGUCAAUAACCGAAGCCGCGGAUUCACACUUAUGUGUGAGUGGUAGGGGAGCGUUCUGUAAGCCUGCGAAGGUGACUCGUAAGGGUUGCUGGAGGUAUCAGAAGUGCGAAUGCUGACAUGAGUAACGUUAAAGCGGGUGAAAAGCCCGCUCGCCGUAAGCCCAAGGUUUCCUGCUCUACGUUCAUCGGAGCAGGGUGAGUCGGCCCCUAAGGUGAGGCUGAGAAGCGUAACUGAUGGGAACAAGGUUAAUAUUCCUUGACCACCGCUGAAUGCGAAGGGGGGACGGAGUAUUGAAGAUCAUCCGGGUGUUGGAUAUCCCGGUUUGCGAGCGUAGGAGGCUGACAGGCAAAUCCGUCAGCGAAUCUCCGAGGCGAAGCAUCGAGCUCUCUUUUGAGCGAAGUGAUUGGAUGUGCUUCCAGGAAAAGCCUCUAAGCUCCAGUUCAGCGGGACCGUACCGCAAACCGACACUGGUGGGCGAGCUGAAUAUGCUCAGGCGCUUGAGAGAACUCAGGAGAAGGAACUCGGCAAAUUGACACCGUAACUUCGGGAUAAGGUGUGCCUUUGUAGCGUGGAGGGAGAAACACCCCGAGCGCGAAGAGGUCUCAGAUAAUCGGUGGCUGCGACUGUUUAUUAAAAACACAGCACUCUGCAAAGACGAAAGUCGACGUAUAGGGUGUGAUGCCUGCCCGGUGCUGGAAGAUUAAUUGAUGGGGUGCAAGCUCCUGAUCGAAGUCCCAGUAAACGGCGGCCGUAACUAUAACGGUCCUAAGGUAGCGAAAUUCCUUGUCGGGCAAGUUCCGACCUGCACGAAUGGCAUAACGAUGGCCACACUGUCUCCUCCUGAGACUCAGUGAAGUUGAAGUGUUUGUGAUGAUGCAAUCUCCCCGCGGCUAGACGGAAAGACCCCAUG
rnacentral:rRNA from 1 species